GGAUGUGAGGGCGAUCUGGCUGACAUUUGUCACCCCAUUGAUGGCCAAGCUUGAUUCGGUUGAUCUGGCUGGCUAGGAGGGCGUCCCCUUCCUCCCUCACUGCUCCUUGUGCUUCCCUCCCAAAGCUGUGCACUCGGUCAAAGAAUAGUGCCUUCCCUGAAUAGAGACAGAACGGUCUCUAUUGUAGGUUCUUGCUCUCCCCGGCUGGAACCUCCAAACAAGCUCUCAAGGAAGAGAAAAAUGAAUACUGGAUGACUCCACAUGUAGGUGAAACAGCAGACAGACUUAGAAAAUGAGAACACUGGGGGGGCCCCCGCAGU
rnacentral:snRNA from 1 species